GGGCGCAAGCCUGAUGCAGCCAUGCCGCGUGUAUGAAGAAGGCCUUCGGGUUGUAAAGUACUUUCAGUCGUGAGGAAGGCGGCGUCGUUAAUAGCGGCGUUGUUUGACGUUAGCGACAGAAGAAGCACCGGCUAACUCCGUGCCAGCAGCCGCGGUAAUACGGAGGGUGCGAGCGUUAAUCGGAAUUACUGGGCGUAAAGCGCAUGCAGGUGGUUUGUUAAGUCAGAUGUGAAAGCCCGGGGCUCAACCUCGGAAUAGCAUUUGAAACUGGCAGACUAGAGUACUGUAGAGGGGGGUAGAAUUUCAGGUGUAGCGGUGAAAUGCGUAGAGAUCUGAAGGAAUACCGGUGGCGAAGGCGGCCCCCUGGACAGAUACUGACACUCAGAUGCGAAAGCGUGGGGAGCAAACAGGAUUAGAUACCCUGGUAGUCCACGCCGUAAACGAUGUCUACUUGGAGGUUGUGGCCUUGAGCCGUGGCUUUCGGAGCUAACGCGUUAAGUAGACCGCCUG
rnacentral:rRNA from 1 species